UGUUGUGGUAAUGAGAAAUAAAUAUUUGGUAUUCAUUUCUGGCACAGAGCUCCUAAAACUCUUGGAAUUACUUAAGAGAGCAACAUAGGUGUCUUUUGUUAUGCUAAUGAGGUGACUGUACUUUAGAAUGCGGGCUGGUUGCUAGGAGACCCAACCUCAUGAUUAGAGGGUUGGAACUUUCAGGUGUACUCCAGGGAGGGGAGAGGGGCUGAAGGUUGAGUCAACGAACUGCCAGCAACUGAAGAUUUAAUCAGUCAUGUCUUAGGUAAUGAAGCGUCCAUAAAACCCCAAAUGAAUGGGGCUUGGAGAGGUUCCAGGCUGGUGAACGCAUGGAGAUUUGGAGAGAGUAGUACGCUGGGAUAGAACAUGGAAACUCGGCGCUCCUUCCCCAUACCUUACCCUAUGGAUCUCUUUCUGAAUCCUCAGGCGGUUCCUGAAUUACAGCUGUUUAUAAUACACCAGUAAUCUACCAACAGGAUUUAUAUAAGAGGAAAAGAAGAAAAAAGGAAGAAGGAGAAAACACCAACUACAUGGAAAUGUGACCUGUUUUCAUGUCCUUGGGUAAAUUGGUGAUUGGCUGGCAACUCUCUGGAACUGGUUGGGGUCUUCUGCCUUGGACAGCUGGAUAGAUCAUUGGAGAAGACAAUUUCAGUUAUGAUGGAGUCUUUGAAAAACCUCAAGAUUUUUUAACCAUAAAAUAUACCUGCCAGGCUAUUCCUCAAAA